rnacentral:rRNA from 1 species
UACGUAGGCAGCAAGCGUUGUUCGGAGUUACUGGGCGUAAAGGGUGUGUAGGCGGUUUUCUAAGUCUGGUGUGAAAUCUCCCGGCUCAACUGGGAGGGUGCGCCGAAAACUGGAAGGCUAGAGUACUGGAUGGGAGAGUGGAAUUCCUGGUGUAGCGGUGAAAUGCGUAGAUAUCAGGAGGAACACCUGUGGUGUAGACGGCUCUCUGGACAGUAGCUGACGCUGAGACACGAAAGCGUGGGUAGCAAACAGG